CCGCGCUCCCGGGCCGCUGCCCCGCGGAGCCGCAGCCCUCCCGCUGCUGCCCGGGACCAGUAUAAACGCGCAGGUGCUGCCUGGGCGGUGUGAAAUGAGUGCGAGGUACGAGGGCAGCUGAAGAGCCAGGCGGCAGCGAGGGAGGGAAGACACAGCGGGCUGUCUCCGGAGAGGCAGCGGGCAGGGAUGGAGGGACACCCGGAGCUCAUGAGAGGCGACAGUAGCAGAGGGCAGAGACACGCGGCGGCUGUCGGUACGUGCAGGCUGAACAAAGUUACUUACGGCGGUGUAGUCCGGGCAGUGUGACCAGGGAAAAGAGCCGACUGGAGAACCUGAUUCCACUUUCUGAUUUUUUUGGUUUUUUUUUUAAAUUUUGCUCCUAAUUAAACAAAAUGUUUAAUUAGGUUUCUAAUUUUUUUUUUAAGUAAAAUCAAACUAACCCCCAAAACGUUCUGAAUGUCAGGGAACCCCUGCCUGUAGCUGUUACACAGCAAAGGGCAUCAGUUGGUGUAGACAUUCAAAAGAGACUGUGAAGCCUCAGGGCACCUCAGCCUCUCAGGCUGUCAGCUUUGAUGUAAAUCUGACAACGGGCUUCUCUUAAGUUCGGGACCUCCCACCAUUUCCGUACAGCAAGGUUGGGCCACACUCAUUACUAAUGAGCCAGUGGGAAAAAAAAAAAAAAGCACCCUGAUCGUAUUCAAGAUGCUUCAUUGAAAUGCUUCGGGAAACACAGGCAUUUCCCAACAUAGCUAUUUCCUUGGGAAUAUUCCAAACAGAUGAAGUCAAAGUGAUAACUCACUUGUAUGUCUAUGAACACUGCCCUACUAACUUUGCCUCUAGCGAUUUCCUCUUUGUUUAAAGCACAGUAAGCAUAGCUUGUGUGGUGUGCUUGUAGCACAUGGAGACAUCUAGCGCCUAAAUAAUAGACUGCAAAUCUGCUUCAUUAAUCUGAAAUCUGGGAGAUCACAGUCGGAUCCACGGCUUGCAGUAUUUCUCCCCAGGACUGCAGGGUGCAGAGCACUUUUGCUACAAACCAUCGCUGCCCGUGGGCAGGGACUGCGAUGGAAUGAGCAGCUGCACUAGCUCAGGAGAGGACUGUGACUGCAGCUCUGCUGCACAGAUUGAGCUUCAGGCCUGAGAUUUACAGCAAUGAUUCAAGACAGAGCUUAGCCCCAAAAGGAGUUGAGACAGUUCCUAACUUGCCUUUGUCACUAAACCACAGAGAGGAAAGCCCUUAGGUGUACAAAUAAGAUGAUUUCAUCUUGGCUUUGCUGGUGUAUCUGUACUUCUUUCUUUGUUAGCCCAGGAGCAAGAUUGUUCUAACACGUGCAAUUGUAAAACUUUGCCUCUUUUCAACAAACACAUGCAAACUGAAUACUCACAUUUGCCAAUUACUGAAAUUAAUUUGAAGGUAAGCACUGCUUAUCUACCAGAAAGAUAUUAGUCCAGGAACAGAUAGUAUUUAUUUUUUUAUACACUUGUCUAAAGAAAGAAGAAAUACAGACUGCUGAUCAACAUCCUCAGCCAGAAGCUGAAAAAAAGCUCAUUUCAGUGAUACCCAAAUGCAGAUUUUUUUGCCAGUACUAUUGCAUGGGGACAUAAAGUAUAACAUUUCUACACACUUAAAUGGUUUGAAACUAAAUAUAUUGCAUUAGGUAUGUGUGUGUGUAGGAGUGUACACUUGUGUAUGUUUUAGACAAUCCACAUAAUACAUUCUUUUCAGUCUCAGGCAGUUCACAAACACCUUUGAGCUGUAAAAGCACUAGAUCAUAGGAUCACAGGAAAAUUAAAGCUGGAAAAGACCUUUAGGAUCAUUAAGUCCAACUGCCAACUUAGUACUACAACAACAUUCACCAUUAAACCAUGUCCUCAAGCACCAUAUCCACUGCCUUUUGAACACUUCCAGGGAGAGAGACUCCAUUUUGUGAAAAAAGAAAAUAAAAAAAAUUAAUCUGAACCUCCUCUGGUGGAACUUGAGGCCAUUUCCUCUUAUCCUGCCACUUCUUACCCAGAAGAAAAAACUGACACCCACCUCACCAUGACAUCCUUUCAGGUCACUGUAGCUGUAGAUCUCGUACAGAAUGGAAUAUCACCAAGCAACUAUAAUGCUUUUAAAUGAUGGUUACAUUUGAAUAAAACAAUCUCUAGAUCCACUAAGUAUGCAAAA